rnacentral:rRNA from 1 species
UACAGAGGGGGCAAGCGUUGUUCGGAAUUACUGGGCGUAAAGGGCGCGUAGGCGGCCGCCUAAGUCAGACGUGAAAUCCCUCGGCUUAACCGGGGAACUGCAUCUGAUACUGGAUGGCUUGAGUUCGGGAGAGGGAUGCGGAAUUCCCGGUGUAGCGGUGAAAUGCGCAGAUAUCGGGAGGAACACCUAUGGCGAAGGCAGCUCGCUGGGACGUUACUGACGCUGAGACGCGAAAGCGUGGGGAGCAAACAGG